GUAAGAUUAAAAUAAAAAACAAGAAAAGUAGUAGAAAUUAACAAGAUUAUUUUCUGGAAGUCGUAAUUACUCAAUAAAAAAAUGAAAGUUAAAAUAUUUGUUACAGCUCGAUCGUUCAUUUAUUUUAAUAUAUUACUUUCUUUUAUAGGAAACUUAUCAAAACUUCGGAGAGUUAUAAAGCAUUUUGUCUUCUCUAGCAUUUUAAUUAAUUGUUUCUUAAUUUUUUUUGGCUCGCAUGCGCUGAUUGCACGUAAUUAUAGGAGAUUUGAUGCUCGAGCUGUUCGAUAAAACACGAGUUGAAUGAAUGAAGUUUGGAAAUACCGAUGUAGAGAUAAAAAUAUUGUUCUAGUAUUGUGGUUGGAAUGUUCUGGUAGAAUAUAUCACGAGCCUGAGCUCGGGCUGCUCGAAAAAAGCUAGAUCAGGAUCAUGACGUAAUUCUACUAGAAAAUUCGAACUACUCGAUAUUUCCAAUUUUACUUUAGAUCGCCAUUCCCAAACUUCAGUCAUUCGCAUACCAUCUUCGAAUCUUUUCGUUGUGCCAGGAUAACAUCUUUACUGUGCAUCCAUUAUGAAAUGAAUUUGAGUGUAAUUGAAGACAAAUUUUAUAUUAAAAUUCGUUUCAACAUAAUCUAAUAAUACAAUUUUUAUAUUGUUCUGCG
rnacentral:lncRNA from 1 species